rnacentral:misc_RNA from 1 species
GAUGAAGAACGUAGCGAAAUGCGAUAAGUAGUGUGAAUUGCAGAAUUCAGUGAAUCAUCGAAUCUUUGAACGCACAUUGCCCCCCUUGGUAUCCCGAGGGGCAUGCCUGUUCGAGCGUCAUUUCACCACUCAAGCCUGGCUUGGUGUUGGGCGACGUCCCCUUUGGGGACGCGCCUCGAAACGCUCGGCGGCGUGGCACCGGCUUUAAGCGUAGCAGAAUCUUUCGCUUUGGAAGUCGGGGCCCCGUCUGCCGGAAGACCUACUCGCAAGGUUGACCUCGGAUCAGGCAGGGAUACCCGCUGAACUUAAGCAUAUCAAUAAGCGGAGGA